rnacentral:rRNA from 1 species
AUUGAACGCUGGCGGCAUGCCUUACACAUGCGAGUCGAACGGUAACAGGUCUUCGGAUGCUGCCGAGUGGCGAACGGGUGAGUAAUACAUCGGAACGUGCCUAGUAGUGGGGGAUAACUACUCGAAAGAGUGGCUAAUACCGCAUGAGAUCUACGGAUGAAAGCAGGGGAUCGCACGACCUUGUGCUACUAGAGCGGCCGGUGGCAGAUUAGGUAGUUGGUGGGAUAAAAGCUUACCAAGCCGACGAUCUGUAGCUGGUCUGAGAGGACGAUCAGCCACACUGGGACUGAGACACGGCCCAGACUCCUACGGGAGGCAGCAGUGGGGAAUUUUGGACAAUGGGCGCAAGCCUGAUCCAGCAAUGCCGCGUGCAGGAUGAAGGCCUUCGGGUUGUAAACUGCUUUUGUACGGAACGAAAAGCCCCGGGUUAAUACCCUGGGGUCAUGACGGUACCGUAAGAAUAAGCACCGGCUAACUACGUGCCAGCCGCCGCCGUAA